GUCCGUGCGUGAUUCAAUCUUGGCCGACCGCACACGUGAGAUCUGGGCCGUUCGUGCGCGUGAGAUCUGGGCCAUCUGCACACGUGAGAUUUGGACCGUUCGAUCGCAUGCACGCGGAUCACCCACGUGGCUCCGUCCCGCGUGGCCUUCCGCGUCAGCGUCCUUGUCACGCGGCAUGUUCUGGUUGGCCGGGGCUGCUGACUGGACUGUUGACGUGGCACGAUUUUUUUAAAUUAUUUUUUGACCCCCGAUUUUCGAUUUUCUU
rnacentral:lncRNA from 1 species